UAAAGGAUCCUGUGAGGACACUUUGC
rnacentral:piRNA from 1 species